GACGAACGCUGGCGGCGUGCUUAACACAUGCAAGUCGAACGAAGAGCGAUGGAAGCUUGCUUCUAUCAAUCUUAGUGGCGAACGGGUGAGUAACGCGUAAUCAACCUGCCCUUCAGAGGGGGACAACAGUUGGAAACGACUGCUAAUACCGCAUACGAUCUAAUCUCGGCAUCGAGGAAAGAUGAAAGGUGGCCUCUAUUUAUAAGCUAUCACUGAAGGAGGGGAUUGCGUCUGAUUAGCUAGUUGGAGGGGUAACGGCCCACCAAGGCGAGGAUCAGUAGCCGGUCUGAGAGGAUGAACGGCCACAUUGGGACUGAGAAACGGCCCAGACUCCUACGGGAGGCAGCAGUGAGGAAUCUUCCGCAAUGGACGAAAGGCUGACGGAGCAACGCCGCGUGAGGGAUGACGGCCUUCGGGUUGUAAAGCUCUGUUAAUCGGGACGAAAGGCCUUCUUGCGAACAGUUAGAAGGAUUGACGGUACCGGAAUAGAAAGCCACGGCUAACUACGUG
rnacentral:rRNA from 1 species